rnacentral:rRNA from 1 species
CCUACGGGAGGCAGCAGUCGGGAAUUUUGCUCAAUGGGCGAAAGCCUGAAGCAGCAACGCCGCGUGAGGGAUGAAGGCCUUCGGGUUGUAAACCUCUUUUCUCAGGGACGAUGAUGACGGUACCUGAGGAAUAAGCCACGGCUAACUACGUGCCAGCAGCCGCGGUAAUACGUAGGUGGCGAGCGUUGUCCGGAUUUACUGGGCGUAAAGAGCGCGCAGGCGGUCGUGCAAGUCGGAUGUGAAAGCCCCCGGCUCAACUGGGGAGGGUCAUUCGAUACUGCGCGACUCGAAGGCGGGAGAGGGAAGCGGAAUUCCCGGUGUAGUGGUGAAAUGCGUAGAUAUCGGGAGGAACACCAGUGGCGAAGGCGGCUUCCUGGCCCGUUCUUGACGCUGAGGCGCGAAAGCUAGGGGAGCAAACGGGAUUAGAUACCCCGGUAGUCAC